ensembl:lncRNA
UUUUAGUUGUAUUUGCUUUUACUGUGAAUAAGAUCCUAGAACGAACGCCACACGUUUGUAUUUAAAUUCUGCUCUGCUUUCUGUUAUGAUGAUGCCAACAAUCAUGCAAACCCCCUGCCGAUACUAAAAUAGUAUCAAUAAACAUCACAUUGUAUGUGUAUUCCUUUAGACUAAUUCAACAGAGAGUUUAGAAAUCAGCACAGUGUAGCUGGUUAUUACCCACAAUGCCUUAGUUUGUCGUUAUAGGGCAGUUUAUCAGAGCGAAUGUGCGAUGCAGAUACCAGAGGCCAUAAAAAGGAGAAUCAUGUCUUCUGAUAAACAUGCAAAUGAUUCCUAAUGCUAAAAUUACACAAAUUUCGUACAGCUCCAGGGCAAAGCAGCUUCUUAGAAAUCGUUCAGACAGACGGACACAGAUGCUCUAAGAGACUCCGGUCACUUCUGUGAGACACGGACAUGGACACGGACAUGGUCAGCAACAAUACUCAGAUGAGAUGAGGAGGGGGACGAGAGCCUGGCCCUCUACGCUGUGACAAACGCCACACGGCUUUGUGCUGCUCCCUCGGGACGAUCGGCGGGGAGGAGACAGUGUGGAGGAUCCCAGAACAAAAAAGACAGAGUUAAAGUGAUAGAGAUAUAUUGACAAAAGAUUGAAAGGAUGAAGAGCGAGAGAGAGUGACCCGGUGAAGCACUGACAUUUUUUUUUUCAGAUACUGUUAUGAAACACUGUGGGGGAAUACAUUCAACAUUAUUGUUAGAAUGACUGACACAUUAAGGUUUUUUGUGAUUGUGGUUAUAUAACAUAGCACUUCUCUCCCAUGCUACAUUCAGACUGUAAAAC